rnacentral:lncRNA from 1 species
GCUGUUCCCGCCAGUAAUCAUCCUUAUCAUCCCCUUCCUCCUCACCCUCUUCUCCCUCCUCCUCCUCCUCUUCCCCACCCCCACCACUGCCACCACCUUCCCUCCGCUUCUCUCGCCUCUUCCUCCUACCAAUGGACCGUUUUUCCAGCUGGGCCUUGAGCCGAGCAAUCUCUUCCUGGAAUUCUCGAAGGAGGGCAUCCUUGGGGUCCUCAUUGACCCUUGGUUUGUUCUUAAUGUUUUUGGCACGGUUGGCAUAUCGCAGAGUGGUCAGAGUCUCUUCUACGUUGUAAGAGGCAGGCCCCACGUUGGCCACCAUCACAGUCUUGGCAUUGCCACCAAGGGAAUCUUGGAGGAGCCUGGUAAGCUUUGAGUCCCGAUAUGGAAUGUGAGUGCUUUUGCCGUCCACUAGAGCAGAGAUGACAUUACCCAAAGCGGAAAGGGAGAGGUUGAUCUUGGUAGCUUCUUUUAAUCUCUCCCCUUGUGCGCCGGUCUUGGCUUGCCGUUCGCUGCCAGCAAGAUCUACAAGGUUCAAUUUUCCUACACGGAUGUGGUUUUCACCAUCGAGGCCCACCUCGCUGCACUCAAUAGUGAUAACGAAAAUUGCAUGAGAACGCGAGCUGUGCUCGUUCAUGUUGGUAGCACCGACAGAACGGUUCUGGUUCCCCACAUUCAUCACAUGCUCUAUCUCCUUCACACUCUUGGUGACAAAGGAAGACAGGUCUUUCACAUACACUCCUGUGUCAGGCCUCUCUUUGAGCUCAAGCCUUUUGGUCUGAUCCUUUGAGAGCAAAUCUCGGAUCUCCUCCUGGUAGAUCUCUAAGUAAGAAGCCCUGACCAGGUAUUGUUGAUUCUGGGAUCGAGAGAUGUGGGUGAAGAUAUGGUCAAAUGAGUUAGGAAUGACUCCUCUUUUUUCAGGGUCACCACGGAUUCCUUCCAUGGUGUAGGUUUUUCCUGUCCCAGUUUGUCCAUAGGCAAAAAUGGUUCCAUUGAAACCUUGCAGGACAGAGUCAACAAGUGGUCGGAACGUCUCAUCGUACAGUUCAAACUGCUUGGCAUUCCAGUCAUAGACGGCAUCAAAGGUGAAGGUCUUGGGCAUUUCAUGGGCCGUCCCUUUGGGGUUCUUCACAGACACCUGCCCCAGCUUAACAUCCACAUCCACCACUUUGUCAUACGAAGCAGCCUUUUCCUUGCCAUUCAUGGGCCGACAGCGAACCACCACCCUGACUGACUCUGAGCUUUUCAACUUUGACAUGAUGAACUCUGAUCCAGUCAAAUCUUGAGAAGUGUCAAUUCAAA